rnacentral:rRNA from 1 species
UUUUAAUAUAAUAUUUUUUAUUUUAUUUUUGUAAAAUAUUUUAAUUUUUUUUCUUUUUUUUAAGGUAUUUAAAAUUUGUUUAUUGAACUGGAUUAGUACCCAGGUAAUCAAAAUUUAUUAAUUCGGGAGUAAAGUUUUGUUUAAACCGAAAAAAUAUUGACUGACUUUAGAUUUUUCUUUGGAAUAUGUGUAUAGAAAGCCCUCUUUUAUAGUAAAAUUUUAUUGGCACAUGUAUGAUUGUUUAACUUUUAUAGUAUUUAUAAUGUUAUUUUUUUUUAUUUUAAAUUAAAAACAGAUAUAUAUUUGGCUUAUAAUUUUAUAAUCAUGUAUUACUAUUAUUAAUUUUUUUUGGAUAAUUUUUUUAUUUUUUUUUGAAAUUGGAAAAGAAAGUAAUUUUUUUUUAAUGUUUUAAUGAAUUU